rnacentral:rRNA from 2 species
CUCAGAGCAGGCGAGACUACCCGCUGAAUU